AGAGAGACAAAGAGAGACAGAGAUCGAGAUAGAUGGCGAUGAAAAGAGAGUGAGGAGGAGGGGUAUGGGUGAUGGAUUUCAGAAGUGGGAGAGUGGGGAUGGUCAGAGAAAACCAUACGGGUCGUCCGGAUCUACUGCUACAUGACUGGAUUUCCAAAGAUAAAUUCCUUUUUUUAAUUUGUUUUUUUACUGUCAGCUUAGAUUGUCAUCGUUUCUGCCUUUUUGUUGUGGAUUAUUUUCGAUUUUUUUAGUGUGUUAGGUCAAGUUUUGGGGAAUUCAUCAGAGAUGUUAAUUUCCCUUAUUUUUUUUGUUUUCUCUCAUUUUGGACAUUCAUCUCUCUUUCUGUCUGUUUGUUCUCUGUUUUAAGGUCAGUUGCUUUUUUUUUUUUUUGGGUUUUUUUGUGUGGCUUUUUAUUUAUUUUUCCAGGUUAUAGAUCUAAUGGUUUUUUGUAUACCAAUCUUGGUUUAGUUUUUCCUCGAAAAUUGUUUUUAUCUGAUUGUGGGUUCGUGGGUUUUAAUUUCUUUCGUUUGUUUCAGGUUGCAAAGUAGGAGGUUCUAACCUGAGGGUUCAGUUCAAGUGGUUCUGACGCGGAGGAGAAUCUGCAAGAGAAAUUUGGAUACUCGGAAGGAACACUUGGAACUUUGGCUUUUUCAGGUAUAUUUAUUUAUAGCGAUUUUGUAAUUAUUUUGUUAAAAUUUUUAAGCAUGCUUGGAUUUUAAGGGGUCACCCUUUCUUUUUGGAAUUUUCUUCGCUGUCAAUCAGACAAUCAGCCGUCAAAUUUUGCUAUAUCCUCAAAUUUUUUAUGGUGUUUGUUGUAUAUUGACUCUCGAUGUCGGCUUAAUAGAGUAAGCAAUGUAAAUUAAAUUGCUUAUUUUAUGGAUCAAUUCAUCCAUCUCUUGUUUUUUAUUUCAUUUGGAGAUAAUUGUGUAAAUGUGUGUUUUUGUGAGCGUUACUCAUGUAAAACAUGCGUUCUCAGACUUGCUACAUUUAUAAAUGCAAUUGUAUUGUUGUAUCA